CAAUUUCAGUAGUAUAUGUGCAAAGAUUUCAGUUAUGUGUAUGAGCGCAUCUUACCAUUGUGUAUACGAGCAUUUUACCACUACGUGUAAGAGCAUCUUACUAGUGUGUGUGAGCGAUGUUGCAUUCCGGUUCCGGUAUAAUCCCCGCCCCUUUUCAGACAAGUUUAUUUUUAUUUUUUUUAAAGCCAAGUUGUGGACAAAAUGUCUGCCGACAAGUAGCUUAACCGAGGCGGGAGCUCCACUUCAUAAUUUGAGGGCUUCAGCGGAGAAUAUAAGAACACUUUCAAUGCAACAAGGGUCGGACUGCCGCCAUGGGUCUCCCCCACAGGACGCGGCACCUGAGCGGCCACACAGCGGUGCCUUUCUCCUCCCGACAGCCGCAGCCUGGAGCACUCGUUCCAUUGCGAGUUUGCACCGCACACAUGCAACGUUUCAGUUCAUGGACAUCGGGGCAAAAGGAGGAAAAGAGUCACCACACAGCUGCAUGACCAUUUCAACAAGGACGGAAUAAACAACCUCUGGAUUCAUGGAACUUCUUUGCACACACAGGGGCGCUACCUUGAGGAGCCAUGAAAGCGCUGACCUAUAAACAAAGCCAGGAGGACACAAACAGCGCAGACAGCCAACGGCAGCUAGAAGCGGUGCAGCCCCAUGGUCAGUGUGCCGCACUGGGAGAGCUGCUCCACUUUCUAUUCUAGUUUGUGUCCGCCAGCGUCCCUGCUGACACGCUGGAGCGCAAACACACCAGCUGGAGUGAAGACCUUCUCUUCUUAAUCUGCACACCAGCGGUCCCCCAUCAGGUGACCCACUGGAGGCUUUCUUCACGUCACACACUCCUGCUGAACAGCAUCUUUGUUCCAGAAGAGAGGAGAUCUUUUGCACCACACAUUUGCAGCUGACUAUCGCCCCUUCCUGGUUAGAGGCAGCACUGAUGGUGCAGGGAAGCACCAGGGGCCGUAUUUAUCAAGCUUCUUAGAAUUACUCCUAAGAAGUCUGC